rnacentral:other from 1 species
GAUUUCCUGGGGUGUUCGAUAAUUCUUGUAUUUUGAACCUACAUUUACUUUAAACGGGAUUCCUAUAUUACCGUCUCCUAUGUCAGGCCUCAUUUGCAGUGGAAGGCAGAAGAGCGGCUGCGGUCACCCACCUAGCAUUAGCUAGGAGUCAAAAAACAAGAACCGGCAUCUCUGGGAUAUUC